rnacentral:rRNA from 1 species
UACAGAGGGGGCAAGCGUUGUUCGGAAUUACUGGGCGUAAAGGGCGCGUAGGCGGCCUUCUAAGUCGAACGUGAAAUCCCCGGGCUCAACCCGGGAACUGCGUCCGAUACUGGAAGGCUUGAAUCCGGGAGAGGGAUGUGGAAUUCCAGGCGUAGCGGUGAAAUGCUUAGAUAUGACAUAGAACACCAAUUGCGAAGGCAGCUGGCUACACGAAUAUUGACACUGAUGCACGAAAGCGUGGGGAUCAAACAGG